GACAGUGUCUGGUGGGUAGUUUGACUGGGGCGGUCUCCUCCUAAAGAGUAACGGAGGAGCACGAAGGUUGGCUAAUCCUGGUCGGACAUCAGGAGGUUAGUGCAAUGGCAUAAGCCAGCUUGACUGCGAGCGUGACGGCGCGAGCAGGUGCGAAAGCAGGUCAUAGUGAUCCGGUGGUUCUGAAUGGAAGGGCCAUCGCUCAACGGAUAAAAGGUACUCCGGGGAUAACAGGCUGAUACCGCCCAAGAGUUCAUAUCGACGGCGGUGUUUGGCACCUCGAUGUCGGCUCAUCACAUCCUGGGGCUGAAGUAGGUCCCAAGGGUAUGGCUGUUCGCCAUUUAAAGUGGUACGCGAGCUGGGUUUAGAACGUCGUGAGACAGUUCGGUCCCUAUCUGCCGUGGGCGCUGGAGAACUGAGGGGGGCUGCUCCUAGUACGAGAGGACCGGAGUGGACGCAUCACUGGUGUUCGGGUUGUCAUGCCAAUGGCACUGCCCGGUAGCUAAAUGCGGAAGAGAUAAGUGCUGAAAGCAUCUAAGCACGAAACUUGCCCCGA
rnacentral:rRNA from 15 species